CCUACGGGGGGCAGCAGUGGGGAAUAUUGCACAAUGGGGGAAACCCUGAUGCAGCGACGCCGCGUGAGUGAAGAAGUAUUUCGGUACGUAAAGCUCUAUCAGCAGGGAAGAAAGAAAUGACGGCACCUGACUAAGAAGCCCCGGCUAACUACGUGCCAGCAGCCGCGGUAAUACGUAGGGGGCAAGCGUUAUCCGGAUUUACUGGGUGUAAAGGGAGCGUAGACGGCGAUGCAAGUCUGAAGUGAAAGGCGGGGGCCCAACCCCCGGACUGCUUUGGAAACUGUAUGGCUGGAGUGCAGGAGAGGUAAGUGGAAUUCCUAGUGUAGCGGUGAAAUGCGUAGAUAUUAGGAGGAACACCAGUGGCGAAGGCGGCUUACUGGACUGUAACUGACGUUGAGGCUCGAAAGCGUGGGGAGCAAACAGGAUUAGAUACCCGAGUAGUC
rnacentral:rRNA from 1 species